rnacentral:rRNA from 1 species
UACGAAGGGGGCUAGCGUUGCUCGGAAUCACUGGGCGUAAAGCGCACGUAGGCGGAUCUUUAAGUCGGUGGUGAAAUCCUGGAGCUCAACUCCAGAACUGCCUCCGAUACUGAGGGUCUUCGAGUCCGGGAGAGGUGAGUGGAACUGCGAGUGUAGAGGUGAAAUUCGUAGAUAUUCGCAAGAACACCAGUGGCGAAGGCGGCUCACUGGCCCGGUACUGACGCUGAGGUGCGAAAGCGUGGGGAGCAAACAGG